rnacentral:rRNA from 1 species
GUCGAACGCAUCCCGUUGAAUUGAAGUGCUUGCACUGAUAGUCAACAUCGGAUGAGUGGCGAACUGGUGAGUAACACGUGGGUAACCUGCCCAGAAGCGGGGGAUAACACUUGGAAACAGGUGCUAAUACCGCAUAACAACAAAAACCGCAUGGUUUUUGUUUGAAAGAUGGUUUCGGCUAUCACUUCUGGAUGGACCCGCGGCGUAUUAGCUAGUUGGUGGAGUAAUGGUUCACCAAGGCAAUGAUACGUAGCCGACCUGAGAGGGUAAUCGGCCACAUUGGGACUGAGACACGGCCCAAACUCCUACGGGAGGCAGCAGUAGGGAAUCUUCCACAAUGGACGAAAGUCUGAUGGAGCAACGCCGCGUGAGUGAAGAAGGCUUUAGGGUCGUAAAACUCUGUUGUUGAAGAAGAACGUGUGUGAGAGUAACUGUUCACACAGUGACGGUAUUCAACCAGAAAGCCACGGCUAACUACGUGCCAGCAGCCGCGGUAAUACGUAGGUGGCAAGCGUUGUCCGGAUUUAUUGGGCGUAAAGCGAGCGCAGGCGGUUUCUUAAGUCUGAUGUGAAAGCCUUCGGCUUAACCGGAGAAGUGCAUCGGAAACUGGGAGACUUGAGUGCAGAAGAGGACAGUGGAACUCCAUGUGUAGCGGUGAAAUGCGUAGAUAUAUGGAAGAACACCAGUGGCGAAGGCGGCUGUCUGGUCUGUAACUGACGCUGAGGCUCGAAAGCAUGGGUAGCGAACAGGAUUAGAUACCCUGGUAGUCCAUGCCGUAAACGAUGAGUGC